rnacentral:rRNA from 1 species
UACGUAGGGUGCAAGCGUUGUCCGGAAUUAUUGGGGCGUAAAAGAGCUCGUAGGCGGUUUGUUGCGUCGGCUGUGAAAUCCCGAGGCUCAACCUCGGGUCUGCAGUCGAUACGAGCAAACUAGAGUGUUGCAGGGGAGACUGGAAUUCCUGGUGUAGCGGUGAAAUGCGCAGAUAUCAGGAGGAACACCGGUGGCGAAGGCGGGUCUCUGGGCAACAACUGACGCUGGAGGAGCGAAAGCGUGGGGAGCGAACAGG